rnacentral:rRNA from 1 species
GCCCUGUUGUCAAUAUGGUCUCUCAAACAGGAUUAGCCUGUUAUCCCUAAGGUAGCUUUUUCGUUUUAUCAUAUAAUGGAUCAUGCUAACUAUUUAUGAGAGGAUUAAGUACUCUCAAGUUGCCCCAACUAAAUCUGUUUAAUAAAGAUUAUUUAUUAAGAUUAAGCUCUAUAGGGUCUUUUCGUCUUUUUGUAAAAUUCAAGUCUCUUCACUUGAAGGUCAAUUUUUAUAUGUAAAUAAGAGACAGCUCUGCACUCGUAUAUUCAUUCAUUCCAGCCAUCAAUUAAACGGCAAAUGAUUAUGC